AGAAUGAGAAGUUUCGGGAACUGAUCAAGGGAAACCGGCAGGUGGAGACGCAGCCAAUCACUGGUAGCAAAAAAACACAACUGCAUAAUGGUUUCUCCAUGGAUACUGAAAGAGUUUGCGCACAAGAUGUAGUGCAGAAGCUGUUUUUAACUUGUCUUGAGUAGACGCCCACCAGCUGAUGUCUAGAGCUCCGUGAAGAGGGCUGGCCAAAACCUUGGAGACACUGUUGAGAUCAGAAGUGGUUAGCAGAGCUCGUUGUUUGUAUUGGUCAUUUGUGGGUUUAGUGAUUUGAACUAAUUUCUAACUGGAUAUUUCACCUAAAAAUAAGCAUUCUGUCAUCAUUUACUCACCCUUGUUGUUCCAAACUCGUAUGACUAUCUUCCUUCAGUCAAAAAGAAGAUAUUUUAAUGUUUUUGUCCUUAGAAUGAAAGUCAAUGGGGUCCAGUGUUGUUUGAACGGCAACGUUCUUUAAAAUAUCUUCUUUUGCAUUAAACGGAAAUAUACAGUAUAAGUCAUGGCCUACAGCAUUACAGAGUCUCAGAAGUACAACCUCAGUCAUCCACAUCACACAAAGAAACCAUCAGUCUGUUCUUGCGAGGGCUGGCACUUCAGCAGCAGGUCUCACAGUGAUGGUUGGUUAGGCUGCAGUGUAGAUGUCUUCAGUGGUUAUGGACGUGUUACGCAGCAGCUUCAGCCGGCUCCAUUUCUCCAUUUCUCCUCAUCUCCAUAG
rnacentral:lncRNA from 1 species